UGAUAUUCUCUCCCUCUCUUUCUCUCUCUCCCCUCUUUCCAUUUCUCUCCCCCACUGUCUGUCUGUCUCUCUCUGUCUCUCUUCCUCUGUCUCUGUGUCUUCCUCCCUCCUUUUCUCUCUCUGCCUCUCUCUGUCUCUCUCCCCCCAUUCCUAUCUUUCUCUGUCUCUGUCUCUUCUUCCCUCCUUGUCUCUCUCCUUCUGCCUCUAUCUCUCUCUUUCCCUCUGUCUCUCUCUGUUUCUUUUCCUCCAUCUCUGUCUCUGUGUCUUCUCUCCUUUUCUCUCUGCCUCUCUCUCUGUCUUUAUCUCUCUACCCACAUUCCUCUCUAUCUUUCUCUGUCUGUCUCUUCUUUCCUCCUUUUUUCUCUCUCCCUCUGUUUCUGUCUCUGUCUCUGUCGAAGAUGAGCACGUUUCGCUCACCCCUGCCCGACCUGUCCAGGCCAUAGGCAAUGGCUGCUGCUGUGGGCUCAUUGAUAAUCCUCAGCACGUUGAGGCCCGCUAUAACCGCAGCAUCCUUGGUGGCCUGACGCUGGGAAUCGUUGAAGUAGGCUGGCACAGUGAUGACUGCGUUGCUGACCGGGUGGCCCAGGUAGGCUUCAGCAGUCUCCUUCAUCUUAGUCAGCACCAUGGAGGAGAUCUCCUCUGGGUAGAAGGACUUACUUUCCCCUUUGUAGGACACCCACACCUUGGGCUCUCUCUCUUUCUCUCUUUCCCUGUCUCUCUAUCUCUGUCUCUCUCUCUCUCUCCUCCCAUUCCUCUCUGUCUUUCUCUGUCUCUGUCUCUUCUUCCCUCCUUUUCUCUCUAUCCAUCUCUGUCUCUCUCUCUGUGUCUCUCUUCCUCUGUCUGUCUGUCUCUGUCUGUCUCUGUCUCUGUCUCUUUGUCCACAGCUGAAGAAUUCUUAACUAGCUGUCCUGGACUACAACCUACCCGUCUCUGGAGUCAUGGUCAGCUUUGCUUCAUUUGGGAGUCAAGCCCUGCCUCCCACAGGUCUCUCAUUGAUGGCUCAUUGAAUAGUUCCCCC
rnacentral:lncRNA from 1 species